GAAGGUACCGGACUAAACCAUGCAGCAUCUGGUACGUAACAUUACUUUAUUUAAGCUUAUUGUAGCAAAGUUGACACCAGUAAAAGAAGUUAAUCGUUAGCUUAAAAACGCCAAAGUAAUUAGGCAUGACUAAAUUUAGUGGUAACUUGCAAGAUUCAACCUACAUUUGCGGCCUUUUUAAAUAUCUUAUUCUCGUUUUACACAUGCUAACUGUUAGAGAAGAUACUGGACUCAACCAUGCAGCCUGUGUGCGGAGGCUGCUGAUUCUUUGCAAGAGUGUGGUACACGGCUGGGUCGUGGUCUGGGGAGCUGCCAGUGUAGAGCCACCGCUACUUAGUAGAGUUACCAGAGGCCCAAGCAGUGAGGCUACAACCGACCAGCCUGUGACCACGCAGGAAGACGAAGUUGAGCACACCCAGCUACGACGAACUGCAGUUCCGUUUAACUAACAGUUUCCCCCAUUUGAACUCUCUUUUUAACUAUCUUAGCCUCAGUCUUGUUUUAACCCUUUGCAUGUCUAUUUUAUACAAAUAAAUUUGGAGGCUAUAUUUUGUA